CCCCAUCCUCCUCGCUGCCCUGUCUCUCCAUCCUCCAUGUCCUGAUCCACUGGGACUGGCCCUGGGGCUGAGGCGUGAGACUUGGUGCCCACGGGAGGCAUUUCGUACAUGUGUUCACCAGCCCACAGUUAGGGGCCCCUGCCCAGAGCAGCCGGCGGGUGAGGAUGCGGGCAGCCUGGAGAGGGCAGCUCGAUCAGAGAGGCGCAGGUGGAGGGAGGUCCCACUGCUGAGGGCCCUGAGAGCGUCUGGACCCGGCAAGUAUGUGACACGGGCACUAUGACAGGAGCACUGCGCGGCCAGAGUGCGGCACAGGGCAUCCAGUGUGACUGUAUUCACGGCAGCCCUGAGCACAAAGCAAGGAGCAGGACAUGUGUGGCGGCAGCAAGGGACCCGCCAGUUUCCACUGGGUGGCCCACUCAGGGUCCCAUGGAGGCGGACCAGGAGGGCAGGGACCCAAGACCACAGAUGUAGCAGGGAAGACUGUGGGUUCCAGAAAAGCAGGCAGCGCAGGCGGUGGAAGACAGCCAGCCCCUUGGGGCUCAGGUCACCCACCAGCACUGCUGGUCCCCCAGACAGUGCUGUGCUUGCCGGCACGGAGGCCUGGUCCAACCAAGGGGUGGGCAGCCCUGGGGCAAACUGGAGCCGCCAGUGGACAGCAAACAGGACCCUGGAGGGACGUCCUCCUGUCCUGUGAAGAGCAGACAAAGAACCGGAGGUGCUGAGCGUGGACAGAGGCUGCCCAAGGACCAGGGCAGGGUGGCAGUCUUGUGCCACGACCUGGGCAACAGGAACGUUGCCCGCCCGGCAGCACAUUCGGGAGGACGGCUAUGCCUAGAGGAAAGGGGCGUCAGCUGAGCCAGGAUGGUGAGGGCGGCACAGGCAGGUGGCAGGGGCUCCUGGGCUGGCGUUACUGUUUCUCACAGUGCCCACCACAAUCCUUCACAGCCAGGUCCGCCGUGCCUCUCCUCUCAUUCCUCCACUCUCUGUUCACCUGGGCCGUCCCUGCCCUUCUUGGUCUCCUGCUGGAGUCCAUGCUGGUAUCCGCUGGGCUGUCCCUCAGUCUGGCCCACCUGACAUUCUGGAGACAAGUGGCCGUCUCCCCUGUGAGACCUGCACCGGGGACAGGACAUGGCCUCUCUGCCUCCUGCGGGGCCCACCCACCCUGGCUGCUGCAUGCUGCCACUAACAUGUCCCCAGUUCUGGAAGCCUCCUGUCCCUCCUCUUGUCACCCAACUCCUGCCUUCCCUGAAAGUCCCUUCCCGCUUCCAGCCCGCCGGGGUCAACUUGGUCAGCGUCCAUUCCAGCCCCAACGACCAGAUGCUGUGGGUGCUUGACAGCAGGUGGAACGUGCACGUGCGGACCGGGAUCACCGAGGAGAUGCCUGUGGGGACCGCCUGGGAGCACGUGCCAGGGUUGCAGGCCUGCCAGCUGGCGCUGAGCACCAGGACCGUGUGGGCCCGCUGUCCAAACGGAGACCUCGCCCGGCGGUAUGGCGUCACAGACAAGAACCCCGCCGGAGACUACUGGAAGAAAAUUCCGGGCAGUGUGGCGUGUUUCACAGUGACUGCGUCAGAUGAGCUGUGGGCUGUGGGCCCGCCCGGCUACCUCCUCCGACGGCUGACAAAGACGUUCAGCCACUCGCAUGGCACCCAGAAGAGCAGCCAGGCCGCCAUGCCCCACCCCGAGGAUCUGGAGGACGAGUGGGAGGUCAUCUGAAGGAGCCCUGGCAGAGUCACGCGGAGGGGCCAGGCCUCCCUGGUGGCCACAGUGGCUUCGGUGUCACUUCCUGGUGGACGUGCUGCCUCGACACUUGUCCAGACACCUCUGGCCAGCCAGCAAACGAAACCAUAUCGCAGAAGUGCCCAGCUGGAAACCAGCACACGCAAAAGAUGACGCCCGGAACAGCAGCAGCACACACCACGUACCCGGAAAUGACCUCAGCCAGAAACCUCAGGCCAUGUGAAGAGCGGCAAAGCUUCCAGAAGACAUAAAAGGAAACUUGAAUAAAGGAAGAUCUGUUCCACAUUCCUGGAUGGAGGACUACACACAUUAUGGAAAGACCUCAUUCUUUCCAAAGGGAUUUAUAGGUGUAGCUUGAUUUCACUUCCAGUCCCCACUGGGAUUGUUUUGUUGGGGCAGGCAGGGAGGAAUAAUGUUAGUGCCCACAAAUGCCCAUGACUGUGGCCAAUGUGCUGCUCACCAGAGCCCAGCAAGGUGAAGUCUCAUUAGCCCCUUGAGAAUCAGAGAGGUUAGGUAGCUUGCUCAAGCUCACCCAGCACUGAGACUGGAAGCCAGCUGCUCUGUAGAACUGCAGACCCUGUGCUGUUUGAUGCCUCCUCACUGUUCCCUGUCACUCCUGGGAAGAAGAAACGGGUGAGAACUGCUAAGUGAUGACAGGUGGAAUUGCAGCAGGGGCCAGACCCUCGGAGGGCCAGGCAGCAGCCUAGCGAGGCCCACAGGGAGGAAGCAGAAUGGAGGGGGCAUCUCAGAUGCGUUUAAGGAGCGGCGGGGGGUGGGGGAGGUGUCACAACUAAUGUGGCCACUGCUUCAUUCUCUGGGCAAAAUAAUAUUAAAUGGGUUAAAGAAUCUAAAACUAGUGGGGAAACUGAUUUCUGGAUGGCAAAGGCUUUCUAAACUCAAAAGUGAUGGGACAAGCCACAGAGGAAAAUAAGUACGUAGAUUUGAUUUCUCCAAAAUGUAGAAAUGCUGCUGGACACAGUGACAUGCACUUGUAGUCCCAGCUACUUGGGAGGCCAAGGCAGGAGGACUGCUUGAGCCCAGGAGUUUGAGACUGCAAUAAACUGUGAUCACACCACUGUACUGCAGCCUUGGCGACAGAGCAAGACCUUAUUUCUCAAAAAUAAGUAAGCAGAAGGAAAUAAAUGUAAAAAUGCUGCAAAUUAAAAACCUCAAAGAAGGGGAAUAAUUGCAACAAAUGGGAAUUGAUGUUGAAUAUUUACCUUAAAAACUUAUACAAACAAUACGAGGAGUGCGCCCUUCGCCAGCACGUAUACAAAAAUCGUAAUGAUACAGAGGUUAGCGUGGCCCCUGCGUAAGGAUGAUUCGCAAAUUUGUGAAGCGUUCCAUAAAUAUAUUUAUUAACUAAAAACCAAUAGGAGGAGCACUUCAAGUCCAGUGUAAGAGCCCUUCACGAAAGCAGAAGGAACACUGGUCCGAACCCCCAGCACCCCAGAAGGAGAGGUGAGAUGGGAGCAGCCUGGGAGCCCCCCAUUGGCGCCGUCCUGCUGGGAAAGCCAGUCCGUAUGUAGGCUUUGCAUCUUGCCACCUCCACUUCUGUCCUCAAGAACAAGUCCUAAGUCAAGGAAAACAGUACAGCCUGUUUAUAAUUAGGAAGCACUUAAAACAGCCUGGCAUUUGGGAACAGCCAUGUUAACGGGAGCAAAUUCCCCUCAUGAAAUAGCCUGCAGCUGUUAAGAAGCACGUGUGUGCAGGAAGCGGCCAUGCAGGACCUCACCGCGCCAGCGUGCAGUUCCUGGGCCUGGUCAUGAAAACGUGGUUCUGUAGGAAAUCAGAGGGAGAAAGGGAGAGAAGGGGGAGGGAGACAACCCAAACAUUGGAGGGUAUUUGUUGUAAGCUUCAAACUUUCGGCAGGUUUGAAAUGUUUCAUAACUCCAGGGAGGAGAAGGAGGGGCGAAAAGAAACAAGUUCUCUACUUGUGAUGAGCAGCUGGUCACAGUGGUUGCCUGAAGUAUAUGCCUUUUUGUAUCCUUUGAAUUUCCAGCCAUGUAAAUAUAUUAUUUAUUCCAAAAAUAAAUCAGAAUUUACAUUUUAAAAAUUCA